UUUGCGAGCUCAUGAGCCGAACAUGCACAGGUUCGAGUUCGGCUCGAUAAUUUUAUCGAGCUUGGAUUUGGGCUCGAGUUCGGCUCAUUUAGAAAACGAACAAAUUUUGAACGAGUUUUUUUCGAGCCGAACCCCGAAUAGUUCGCGAGCGGCUUGGUCGUUUACACCCUUACCUACCGCCUUCCACUUGCCACCUGCCGAGCAUCGCCGACCCUCUGUCCAUUAACCCUAGCAGCCGCCAUGAGCUCUCCAACACAAACCCUAGGUGCCGCGUCUCGUCGUCUGCUACUCGCUGCCACGCCGCCAGCGCCAUUAGCUGCAGCCCGCGCACCACCGGCGUCAGUGCCAUCACCGCAGCCUGCACUCGAUCUGGUCCACCCGCCAACUGCAGCACCUUCGACGGUCUCCACCAUGCUGUCGUCACUUUGUCUGCUCUCCAAUACCCAUAUCGGCGCCCCCGCGACUCGCACCGCUUGCGGCUGUGUUGGUAUGAAAUAUUUUGUGGUUGUAUAUCAUCAUUUGAUUCUAGUCCACAUUACACUUAGUAGAAUAUAUACAAUAAUUUUUAGAUGGGAAAGUGGAUAUUGAGGUACAAAUUGAUAUUUUCACAAGUCUCUAAAUUUAUUUUGGUCUAUGAAAUUCUCAUAUGAAACUAGUUUCUCCAUCACAGGCCAAAUCAUAAAUUAGUUAGGUCUAAGCAUCUAAGGGAAAAAGAAUUAGAACGACUUUUCUUGAGGCUUAUUUAACUGAAGCAUCACACAUCUGUGAAGAGAAAUGAUAAGCUUCUUUUUUUUUUUAUUGUUAAUGGCUUUAAUAAGUGAUUAUAGAUUGCACUUCCCUCUAAUAUAAGUUUCAGAAAUGGAAAACGCACACCUAAAACUAGCUAGAGCUGUCCUUAUAUGCUCUGUACCUCCUUCAGGAGAUAUGUUAUAUUCUUAACAAAAUUGUCUUAAUUUAUACGUAAAUCUUUAUUCUCAUGACUGAUGUAUUUUUUUCCAAUUUUCCCAAUGGCCUAGUGUGGCGGUAUCUAUUCUCCAAACCUAUUGUUGCAUUUAAGGUACUACAUCUUGUAAAGAAUGAAUAACUUCUUUAGAGCAAGAUUGUUUCCUAACUGUGAAAACUUAAACCAAUUACCCGGGGUACAUCUAAUUUGUGACAAUAUGAAACAGAUUAACAUGCAGUUUGGCAGCAAAAGCUUUACUGUCAUGACCUCCUGAAGGAACCAUAGUUUGACGUAUGAUCCAUUUGCUCGUGACCCAUUCCGGAUGCCAAACGAGUACAUACAAAAAUCACAAAUGCCUAUUGCAAGAGUUCAAAACUUACUUGCAAAUCCGACGAUCAAAGACUCCAGUGUUGAUCUUCCAACUUGUUCCCACGGUAGAGCAUGAUGUUGGGUGGCAACGUGCUUCAAGUCCUCUCCUUCAAAGUUGGCGUCUCCUCACUCUCACGAUCUGCUCUCACGUGUAUGAUUAAUUAAUUAGGUUUAGGGUUAUCUCUUAUUAUUUAUACUAGGUAUUAGACAUACCUAAAUGAUAAACACUCAUUUUGCAUGGUUUAUAUUAUGCGGUUUAAGUCGAUUUUACGCCUGUUUUAUUAUUGUUUGGAGUUCAUUGUAUAUUAUUUCAUGAUUUCACGGUCGGGUGUAGUUUUGGCAGUUUUGAUGCAUGGAUGAGUGGUAUUGGAACAUGGAGUGUAAGGAACGUGCUUAAGAGAAGAGUUUUGAGAGAAUCGAG
rnacentral:lncRNA from 1 species